rnacentral:rRNA from 1 species
AUGGCCCCACCAUCACGCAAGAAGCGGUCGUCGUCGUCGGGGCAGCGAGAUCGCAUCAGCGGCCUCCCGGACAGCGUGCUGGGCCACGUCCUCUCCUACCUCCCCAACAAGGAAGCCGGCCGUGCGGCCGCGCUUGGCCGCCGGUGGCGCGACAUCUUCUGCAGCGUGCACACCAUCUCCUUCGAGGAGGAAGAGGGCGAGAGGGAAACCGACUGGGACACCUUGUACUACGAGGCCGAGGAGCAGAGGAGCUGCAGCGUUGAGCUGAUCGACACUAUCAGCGCUGCGCUCCUCCGCCGCCGCCGCCGGUACGGCAGCACGGGCAUGGCCACCGGCCUCCCCGUGCCGCUGCGCAGCCUCCGCUUCGCCUUCGACCGCUACGACAUUUGGGACAAGGCCGCGGUCGACCAGUGGCUCUUCGACGUGCUGCGCCACGCUGAGAAGGAGCUCCACCUCGACCUGCGCUUCUUCAUCGGCCCGAUCUGCCCACGCGAGGACGACGAUGAAAAGGGGAGCGAUAAUGAGGACUGGGGGUAUGUCCUUCCGAAAAGGCUCUACUCCUGCACCGUCAUACGAACGCUAUGCCUUGGCCAUUGCAAACUGAACCUACCGGAGGCUAUCAACCUGCCGUUCCUCGAAACCCUGCGUCUGACAGGUAUCCUCGGUGAUGACUCCGGCGAAACCAUCCAAAAACUCAUCUCGGGUUGUCCCCGCAUCGCCGACCUGACGCUGGAAGCCAACAAUAGUCUCAAAAAGGUCUUCGUUCUCGAUAAAUGCCUCCGAAGGUUUGCUCUCCGCUGCUGCCACGACUUGACGAAAGUAAGCAUCGACGCGUCGGAGCUGAGGUCCAUGGACUACAGCGGCGCCGUGCCCGAGGAGUCUUUGCUAUCUCUGCACGGCUCAUCGGCAAUAUCCUCCUGCACCGUCAAAUUUUGCAAGGCGAUACCCACGAAGUCGGAGUUCACCCGGUUCAGAAGGUUCCUCAAAAAGGUCUCGCCCUCAAAGCACCUGCGUCUGCACCACAGAGGCUUGGACACUCGAUUCUUCGCGGUGUUCCCCUCGUUUCCUACCCUGACGCGGCUCGAGCUACAUGGCCCCAUCCGAAGCAGCGACACCAUCGAUGCGGUCCGGAGGAUAUUGGAGCAGAUGCCCAACCUCGAGGUCCUGUCGCUCGACAUGGAUGACCGGGAGCGGAGAGAAAAGGAGGAAGAGGAGGAGGAGGAGGCCAUGUACCCGGAGCGGUUCAACAGAAGAGGCGUAGAUGAUGAUCAGGAGCAGCACCAUCAGUCCUCGGAUGAUCCUGUGGAGCUCAGAGUUCCCAGUCGGUCGAGUUUUUCCAUGCGGUGCUUGCGGCGUCAGGUGAAGGAGAUCAACAUGGAUAGCUACCGGUGUGACGUGCAGCAUAGGGCGCUGGCCAGCCUGCUGUUCCGCAAUGCGCUUGUGCUUGAAAGGAUGUCUGUCGUGUUCGUGAAGAAGGUGCCGUCCGAGUUGCAGGCUGAGCUCACGAAGGAGAUCGAGAGCUGGCUGGUGGGCAAACCAGAAAAGAGUUUCAAGUGA